rnacentral:lncRNA from 1 species
GCCAUUGAUUCAUUACUCCAAGUUUUGUUUGUUCAUUUAAGUGCCUCAUAUGAUAAUUUAUCACAGUGAAAACAGCAGUGUAAAUUUUAAAGUUCCAUUUUUGCCAUUCCCAGUGAUUGUUAGCCACUGAAUACAUUCUGGGCAUGUUAUAUUUAUUGACUUAUAUAACCUCCUUGACAGAAAAGACACUGACACCAAGAAGGUCAUGAACACCCGAUGAAGCAUACUGAAUGAACACUGUUGUUCUUCCAGCACACCAGGUCCCACCAGCCACAGGCACCUGUGAGGUGGGACAUUCCCAUUUUACAGAUACUUGGCUUAUAGGUUUGCAAUAAUAAAAUGAGAUUAAUACACAUCAAAUGCUGGCAACAAUAUUGGCGGCAGUUUUAUUCUCAU